rnacentral:rRNA from 1 species
AUGGGUUGGUUGACCAAAUUUUUUAGAGGUUCGACCCACAACAUCUCGGAAGGGCGAGAACAAAGCAAGCCUGCAGAAGAGACAAGAUGGAAUGAACCCUCCACUUCCACUGUUGUGAUUGAUCCCCUUUCGGAAUUUGAUAAUGAGGAUAUUGACCGUGCUAUAGCACUUUCUUUAUUGGAAGAGGAACACAGAAAACCAAAGGAAACAGGAAAGGAUCUGCAUUUAGAUGAGGAUGAACAACUGGCAAGAGCUAUUCAGGAAAGUUUGAAUGUUGAAUCACCCCCUCGUGCUCAUGAAAAUACCUCGCCCCCUCGUGCUCGUGAAAAUAGUGCACACCCUCGUGCUCGGGAAAAUGGCAGCGCCAACGGUGGCAAUUCAUAUCAACAAUUACCAUUUAUGUUUUCGUCUGGAUUCAGGACAUGUGCUGGAUGUAACAAUGAGAUUGGCCAUGGACGUUUUCUUAGUUGCAUGGGAGCUGUUUGGCAUCCAGAGUGCUUUUGCUGCCAUGCUUGUAAUCAGCCAAUAUAUGACUAUGAGUUCUCCAUGUCAGGAAACCAUCCAUACCAUAAAACUUGUUACAAGGAGCGCUUUCACCCAAAAUGUGAUGUCUGCAAGCAAUUUAUUCCUACAAAUAUGAACGGCCUUAUCGAAUAUAGGGCACAUCCUUUUUGGUUACAAAAAUACUGUCCAUCACAUGAGGUGGAUGGUACUCCAAGAUGCUGUAGUUGUGAAAGAAUGGAGCCAAGGGAAUCAAGAUAUGUAUUGCUUGAUGAUGGUCGUAAGCUCUGCCUGGAGUGCCUUGACUCUGCAGUAAUGGAUACAAAUGAGUGCCAGCCUCUUUACCUCGAAAUACAGGAAUUUUAUGAAGGUCUCAAUAUGAAAGUGGAACAACAGGUUCCUCUGCUUCUUGUAGAAAGACAGGCUCUAAAUGAGGCCAUGGAGGGAGAGAAAACUGGACACCACCACCUUCCUGAAACAAGAGGUUUGUGCCUAUCAGAAGAGCAGACUGUUAGCACGAUAUUGAGAAGACCAAGAAUGACUGGAAACAAAAUUAUGGAAAUGAUAACAGAGCCGUAUAGGUUGACACGGCGGUGCGAAGUGACUGCAAUUCUCAUUCUGUAUGGUCUCCCAAGAUUGUUGACAGGUUCAAUUUUAGCUCAUGAGAUGAUGCAUGCAUGGUUGCGACUUAAAGGAUACCGCACUCUCAGUCCAGAUAUAGAAGAGGGCAUAUGCCAAGUCCUCGCCCACCUGUGGAUCGAGUCGGAGAUCAUGGCAGGAUCAGGCAGCAACGCCGCGUCGACAUCCUCAUCCUCUUCGUCGUCCGCAUCGUCGAAGAAGGGCGGAAGGUCUCAGUUCGAGCGGAAGCUCGGCGACUUCUUCAAGCACCAGAUCGAGUCGGACACCUCCGUUGCCUACGGGGACGGUUUCAGGGCUGGGAACCGGGUUGUUCAGCAGUACGGCCUGAAGCGCACCCUCGAGCACAUCCGGCUGACAGGGACAUUGCCGUUCUGA